AGCUGAUGAGUAUGGCAUGAGCUUGGGCAUAUUGGUCGGCUUUCAGAGUUCGCUUAGUUGCGAGUCCUUUCCCUACCGGGUUUGGAUGUGCGUUGCGCUCAUUAGGCGCUGUGCGCUCUGUCUGUUCCGGGCCUGCUCGUCAGUGCACUUCCUCAGGGUGUUCACCACGACCGGCGCUGCUGUCUGUCUGUUGCGGUCAAACCGGUUAGGCUUAGUCAUUUUGGCUAGGUCUGGUCGGGAUGGCAGGUGGCUCUUGAGUUCUUCUGGCUUCGGCUGGUUUGAGCUUUUGAGUGUAAUUAGCCGACUGUGACGGAUCUGUGCAGUGCGUCGGGGCUGGCGGCUUUGGUGUGUGUACGCGUGCUGUAGCUUACUGGCUUAGUCAGGUCUGGUUGGUGUGUUACCUGCUUUGGUGGGUCUGCCAAUGUCUUGGCUUUGCGUGGUGGGUGGUGGCGCGUGCGAUACUAGCUAGGGCCAAAAGUCUGGGGUGUUGUGGUAAACGAUCCACCCGACCCGUCUUGAAACACGGACCAAGGAGUUUAACAUGUACGCGAGUCAUUGGGCGUUACGAAACCCAAAGGCGCAGUGAAAGUAAAGGUUCGGCUUGUCCGAGCUGAGGUGAGAUCCUGCUGUUCCUCUGCCUUGGACUACCAAGCAAUCGAG
rnacentral:rRNA from 1 species